CCUCGCACAGAUCACCCCCCGAGGCUCCUUCAGAUGUCAGCACAGGAACUACCGCUAACCGUAAAGUGGCUCGACACCCACACGGCUCUGAACACCACAUGAAGACGAAGAGGCACUCAGAGAAAGAGCGGGAGAAAACAUGAGGGGGAAGGAUUGGUUUCUCUGAGCCCUUUUCCUGGUCGGCUCCGUUUUUUUAUGAGUGUGUUUUGUUCUGAAAACGUCACUUUUAGUAAUGGGGAUCUUCAAUGAGUCACACUUUACAGGUGUUAGGAAGCCUACUUUAAAAAUAUCUGAUUUACCAGGGGAAAAACUCAGCCUGCAGAAGCCGGUUGAUCUCAUCCAUGCUCGCGAUAUCGUCGGUGGUUUCAGUUUUAAAGUUUAAGAUGUCUUCGCUCCCGCC